rnacentral:lncRNA from 1 species
AGGACAUAUUUUUUGAUGGCUAAAUAGUGUUAUAUAGAGAUACUAUCUAUGCCCCGUUCUAAGUUCUUGUUUCUCUAAGUUUGGCAUCUCAGCUUCACCCUAGGACUGGAACUCAAGUGAGCUCUUCUACUACCCAAGAACUGAAACUCUGCUCCUAAAUCCGAGCUAGGAGAUAGGGCUUUGCGUGUAAUUUACAAUCUGUGUCUUCUGUUGUCUUGUGAACUUCUAAGGAUAAGAGUUGAGCUCCCAGAGUGCCUGGAACUUAGUGAACAUUCAACCCAAUGCCUGUGGAUAACUGAAAAAAUUAACCAUGCACUGCAAAGGACUCCUCUGCCAACAGCCCAUAUGAAGGAAUAUAACCAGCACUUGGCCUCCCUCUUUAAUUUGGUCUUGAAUGUGGAUACAAUCGCUGGAGAUACAGCAGCUGUCUUGCCAUUAUGAGGGAGGAAAAGACUAGGAGAAUUGCAGAGACAUUCGCUGUACAAUCACUGCAGUGUCGUUAGCAAAUAUCUACCUCUAGACAUCUCGCUGUAUGAGAAAAAUAAACCCCAUUUUGUUUAAGCCACUGUAGUUGGGUUUUAUGUUAAACGCAGCCACAUUGUUUUCAACAAACACCCCUGUCAUUGCCACAAUAAGACAGGUGGAAGUCAUCAAAGAAGAUCAUAUUGUUGCUUUGGUUCUGCAAGUGGUGUUCUGGUACCUAAGCUUGGGUAAGACUGACUAGGAAAGGGUAGUUGGCAGGGCCUGGAAGGGAGGGUUGCUGAGUGACACGAACAGGGACUUUGAUUGCUAGGAAACCUCCCAGUGAGACCAGUUCCGAAUAGGGAGAUCAACACAUGGCCAAGGGCAAGACCCACAUCCCAGGGAAAGGGUGGAAAAGUAUUCAAUAGAUGGCAAAAUAUAGUGAUGAAGCAACAUAGUGCAGUGCAAAGCAGAUGAGUCUAGGGGCCAAAGAAAUGGGAAAUUGAGUCCUUAUUCUGCCACUUCUUCUUGGAUGUAUGACUUGGUGAAAUUAUUCCACUAUUAUUGGCC